CUACGGGUGGCAGCAGUGGGGAAUAUUGCACAAUGGGGAAAACCCUGAUGCAGCAACGCCGCGUGGAGGAUGACACAUUUCGGUGCGUAAACUCCUUUUAUAUGAGAAGAUAAUGACGGUAUCAUAUGAAUAAGCUCCGGCUAACUCCGUGCCAGCAGCCGCGGUAAUACGGGGGGAGCAAGCGUUACUCGGAAUUACUGGGCGUAAAGCGCAUGUAGGCGGAUAGAAAAGUCAGAAGUGAAAUCCUAUAGCUUAACUAUAGAACUGCUUCUGAAACUCUCUAUCUAGAAUGUGGGAGAGGUAGAUGGAAUUUCUGGUGUAGGGGUAAAAUCCGUAGAGAUCAGAAGGAAUACCGAUUGCGAAGGCGAUCUACUGGAACAAUAUUGACGCUGAGAUGCGAAAGCGUGGGGAGCAAACAGGAUUAGAUACCCCGGUAGUC
rnacentral:rRNA from 1 species